GGGAGUUCAGCUUUAAGUGAAACUGCGAACGGCUUAUUAGAGCAGAUGUGAUUUAUUCGGAAAAUCCUAUUGGAUAACUGCGGUAAUUCUGGAGCUAAUACAUGCGUAUAAACCCUGACUUUCGAAAGGGUGCAAUUAUUAGAGCAAAUCAAUCAUUUUCGGAUGUAGUUUGCUGACUCUGAAUAACGCAGCAUAUCGGCGGCUUGUUCGCCGAUAAUCCGAAAAAGUGUCUGCCCUAUCAACCUGAUGGUAGUCUAUUAGUCUACCAUGGUUAUUACGGGUAACGGAGAAUAAGGGUUCGACUCCGGAGAGGGAGCCUUAGAAACGGSUACCACAUCCAAGGAAGGCAGCAGGCGCGAAACUUAUCUAAUCUUGAAUAGAUGAGAUAGUGACUAAAAAUAAAAAGACCAUUCCUAUGGARCGGUUAUUSCAAUGAGUCGWUCAUAAAUCUUUUCUUGAGUAUCCAG
rnacentral:rRNA from 1 species